AUUCAGCUGACGAGUCCCGAAUAGGACGAAAGGCUCAUACUAAAU
rnacentral:hammerhead_ribozyme from 1 species